ACACAUCUUCUGCUAUAAAUAGUCCUGGCUUCUCUUUUAAUCGGUACCCCAUUGAAGUUUCGAGAAUGGGGUCAUCUCUCUCUUCUCUCUGAUGCAAGAGUUUGAUCUUUCCAUCUGGUGUUGAUUGCUUAUCAUGACUUCGUUCUUCUAUCGAUAUUCUUGGGCCUGGUUAAUCUUUGUAUGCGUUUUAUAUGGAUCGGUUAGUGAUAUCUGUCGAAAUUGAUUUAUGCAGAGAGGAUCGUUGAUUUACGCUUGGGAUUUUGUUUAGAUCGGUUUGGUUUUCGAUCGCUGUCCGCCUUUGUUAUUUGAUUCCUUCGUUAUUUAGGGAUUCUUUUGUCACCGUUUGGAUUUUUGGUUUAUUCAGCUUAUGGUGGCCUUGGGCUUUGUUUGGUUUCAUUAUGUGUUGAAAUAUGCAGAUUAUGGCUACGACUAUUGUGUGGUUUUCACAUUAUACCUGAAAAUUUUCUUCAAUAACGUCGUUCGAGGGUUGGCUUGGAUUGUUGAGGCUGGGAGUAGCUUGAUAGAAUGCCCCCAAUUUCAUGGUGUCUCAGGUUUUUUGGUUGAUUGAUAUUGUCAAUGCAGAAAUAUAUUCAUAAAAUAUAUGAAAUUUCCAGAUUUAUUGAAUCAAAUCCUCUUUGUUUUCUUUGAAGUCGUGUGAAGCAUUUUGCUCCUUUUAUAUGUCCUCUGCUUAGAGGUUGGGCAAGAAGGUUUCAAGUAAUGUUAAAGUUUUGCCAAUUCCUUGUCUUACCCGACGUUUGACUUUGUUACUCUAAAAUCGUUUUUAAUGUUAGAUAUUCACAAGUUUGGUUUCAACCAUUGAUGCUUUAAAGGAUGGACGGAUGGUUUGAUUUACUUUUUCUAUUAUAUACAUAUAUUUUCAAAUGAACUUUCAGGUUGUUUUACAAAACUGCGGCCUUGCAUCUCUACGGGCUUGAUAUAGUAUCAUCAUUCUUUCUUCAUCGUGCUUUGUUUUACAUUUCUUUCUACCAACAUUUCUGAGGGUUUUGGUAUGUUUUCACUUUUUAGUGAUCGGGAGAAUGGUUAAAGGUUUUUUGUCCUUGGAUGGUGCAAAAUGAUUCUUUCAAUUCUUAUUCAAUCAUCCUUGCUUUUUUCAAGGCGUUUUUUUUUCCUAUGCUGUCUAUCUUAGUACAUGCAUAUUGUUCAAUAAUUUCAAUAAUUUAAGGUUCUCGACUUCGUAAGGCAUCAGUCUUCUUUAAACAAGAUUAAACCUUGGAAGGGAGUUGACUUCCUAGUUUUUCCUUUUAAAUGGAUUUUUAUCUUUUCUAGAAUUGAAGCUUCGGACUUUGUGAGAUGUGGUUCAUGUCUCUUCUUUUGGGCGUUCAAUGAAUUUUCAGGGUUCUGCUUUUACUCGAGAAUAUUAUUAUGGGCUGUUGGUAAGCCCUGGAUGCUUUAGUCGUCAUGCUGCAAGCCACAAAUGUCUUCCUCUGCAGGCUAGAUAUGUUUCAUCACCUUUUUAUCUCGAUGUUGUGAGAAUUAUAUUUUUGGAAAGGUUGGUUUAUGCUUUGUGAUCCGUAUAUAUUUCACAGAUGAUUCUUAGAGCGUUGCCGAUUGUUGAUCUGCACUUGGGAAUUUGUAUUAGCAUUUAUAUGCAUUUUGUAGAGGUUCAGAGGUUCUGUGCAACCACUUCUGUGCAUUGUGUUUGUAACUAAUAGUUGUUUAUAACAACUGUGGGUUUUGUGGGUAUUCAUGUGAUUCAUGCAGAUCCCUCCGUUCUUUGAUUUUUAUGUGGGAUCUGGAGUUGUAUACAUAUUUGCGACCAUCACUUGUUGGACUUUCUCAUUAUAAGGUCAGAUAUUUAGUUUUUGACGUGUCGAUAUAUGUUCAGAUAAAUGGUUCUCGAUGAUUAUCUAUGGUAUAUUUUUCCUUGGAUUUUGAUGAAUGCAGAGCAUCGCCCGUGGUUGAUUUACACUUGGUACUUUACAUGCGUGUAUAUAUGCGAUUGGAAUUUGGAAUUUCUGAUUUAUACAAACAGCAUCGACAACUGUUGCUUUACAUUAGUAUAUAUAAGACUUUGGUAGUGCAAAGGUUUUGUUCGACUUUUUAAAAAAAAAAGUGUUUUUACAUUCUAGCUGUUGGUAGUCGGCAUCAUCUAAUUGCUGAAUUUAACUUGGGUUUCAUUAAUAUGAUUUGUAUAGAUGAUGCGGAUUUUUCGUUAUAUUGGGUCUGGAGAGAGAUCCAUAGUCGACCAUUGGGUAUGGUUUACUUUUUGAGUUGUUGGUUUAGUGUUCCCUUCUCUAUUGAAUUUUCUUGUUUUGGACUUAGAACAACAUUGCAGUUCUUAUGGAGAUAGCUGGAUAGCUGGCAUGAUUUCACAGAGUCGACAUUGGAGUUCCUUCAACCUACCUAUUUUGUAGCAAAUAAGAAUUCUAGUUUUAUAUACUUGUCAUUGUUUAAAUUGACUUUCUUUGCCCCUAUAUGAUGAUAUUUUUUCAUUAAGCAAAAGUGUCGAUUUUUUUUUCCCAGUACUCAAUUGGCUCUCGACUGGAUGGAGCUCUUGUGCACUAAUUAAAGCUGGCCUGUGAUCUUGGUGUUCCCUUCUCAAUCUUAACUUCUAUGUUAACGUUUCCUUUCGAUAUUUUUUUGUAAACUUUUAUGAUUCCAAAGUUGUUUCGAAUUCUCUCAUUUUAGGUCAUCAAAAUUUCUAUAGAAGGCUUAAAGUACCUUUGGUGCUGGAGGAGGCUUAACAAAUCAUUAGUCUAAAUUUGGGCUUUAAUUUUUUCUUGAAGAUUUUCUUCUUUUCUUUUCAAGUAUAUUUAUGCUACAAGUGUUCGUGUUUUCUUUGUUAUUUCAGGCUAUUUGUUGAAAAUUUACAAUUUUUAGAAGGUCGUCUCCGCAAGAUCAUUAUGCUCAAUGAACUGCGUCUUCAUUAUUUGAUUAGUUGUUAUUAGCUCAUGACCAAGUUCAUGUGACUUUUUCCUUUCUUUCAGGCUGUUGAGGUUUUCUGCGAACUCAAUCUGUCCAAGUCCAAGUAUGCUUUUCCAAAAAUAAAAUUAAAAGUUGGAAUUUCACAUCUUCAAAUUGCAUAUACGCAUUAUUAUUUAUUAAUUAACUUAUAUAAAAUUGUUGUUUUUUAACUUGCUGUCUUCAUCCUAACUUAUUUUUCUUCUGUUCAUUCAUUUAGGCUUUUUGUUCAUACAUGGUUUCGGUAUUCAGGCUCUCGGAUUUUAGUUGUUCACUGUUCUGGACUUGUUUCGAAGGAUGUCUUUGUUGGUUGGAGGGCUGCAACUUUCUUUUCUUUGGUCCAUUUAAGCAGCUUUAACCUUGUAUGGUGGUCUCUUAGAUUGUCUUUACUUAACGUAGCUUCUUUUUGAUUUUUUUGACGUUGUAGCUUUGAUCUGGACUGGUUCUUAUGCAUCAGUCUUCAAGGUGCGUUUUUCAGUUUUUUCGUAUGUUUGGUGGAGUUUUCUAUUUGAACUACUGACUUAAAUUUGUAAUGCCAAAAUGUCUUCAGCAACCUUAAUUCUUUUUUUUUUAUUUAUAAUGAAAUUUCAGGUUGUUUUUACCAUUGUAGCUUUUCAUUUUUUUUGGGUUUGACUUAGCAUUUUUAUUCUUACAUUUACCUCUCCUUUUACUCGCCGUGAUUAAAGUAUUUGAAUUGUUCCAUUUCAUUCUGGCAUGAUUUUUUAGGGUUUCAGUAUUUUCUUCCCUUUCUAGGCGAUUGUGAGAAUGGUUCAAGGUUCUGAGUAUAUUUCUGUUUCACGUUUGCUGGAUUGUGGAGGGGUGUAAAAUGAUUUCUUUUGUUUUAUAUUUUUCAAAUGAAUUUUCAGGUUGCUUUAGAGAACUGCGGCCUUUCAUCUUUAUGGGUCUGACACAGUAUCAUCAUCCAUUUGUCUCUCAUUUUGCUUAUUGUGCUUUGUUUUGUAUUUUUUUUUGCCUCCAUUUUUGAGUGUUUUUGUAUGUUUCUCUUUUCCUAGGUCGAGAGAAUGGUUCAAGAUUUUUUGUGUCGGAUUGUGGAGGGGGGUGUAAAACUAUUCUUUCAAUUCUUAUUCAAUCACCCUUGCUUUCUUCUAGGCGUUUUCUUAUUUGUAGUUGAUUAUAUCUACCGAGGGUUUUGUGGGUAUUCUAUAUGAAUUUUGCAGAUCCCUCUGGUCUUUGAUUCUUAUGUGGGAUCUGGAUUUACAUAAAUUUACCACCAUAACUUGUCGGACCUUCUCAUUAUAAGGUUAGAUAUUUAGUUCUUGACGUCUUGGUAAGUUCAGAUAUUUGGUUCUUGAUGAUUAUCUACUAUAUAUUUUUCCGUAGCUUUUGAUGAAUGCAGAGCAUCGCUUGUGGUUGAUUUACACUUAGCACUUCUCAUUCGUGUCUAUAUGAAAAUCGACAACUGUUUCUUUACACUCGGUCCAUUAGGUUAGUAUCUAUAAGACUUUGGUAGUGCAAAGGCUUUGUUUGCACAUUUUUUUGACUCUGUUUUUGAUUUCUAAUUGUUGAUUUAACUUGAGGUUUCAUUUAUAUGAUUUGUAUAGAUGAUGCUGAUUUGUUUUCCCACUGGGGGGUCCGGAUUGAGAUCCAUAGUCAACCUUUGGGUAUUGUUUGAUUUUUAGUGUUUGAGUUGUUUUUCCGUUUUUUCUUGAACUUUCUUCUUUUGGACUUGGAACAACAUUGCAGUUCUUAUGGAGAUAGCAGGCAUGAUUUCACUAGUCAACUGUGGAGUUUCUUCAACCUACCUAAUUUGUGAAGAAUAAGAAUUCUAGUUUUCUAUACUUCUCAUUGUUUAAAUUGACUUUCUCUCGCUAUAUGAUGUAUUUUCUAAUUAGGUACAUCCGUCAUUUUUCCAGUACUCAUUUGGCUUUCGACUGGAUCGAGCUUUUGUUUACUAAUUAAAGCUAGCCUGUGAUGGUGGUGUUCCCUUCUCGGUCUUAACUGCUAUGUUAUAUUAUCCUUUGGUUUCCUUUUGGUCUUAACUGCUAUGUUAUCUUAUCCUUUGGUUUCCUUUUGGUCUUUUUGUAUAAACUUUAUGAUUCUGAGGCUUUUUUGAAUUCCCUCAUUUUAGGUUGUCAAAAUUUCUAUUCAAGACUUAAAAGUAUCUUUGUUGAUGGAGGAGGUUUGACUAGUCAUUAAACUAUAGUUUGAGCUUUUAUCUUUUCUUGAAGCUUUUCUUUUUGAUAUCUUUUAGGCUAUUAUUAGUGUUCGUGUUUUGUUCGGUAAUUUCAAGCCCUUUGUUGGCAAGUUGCAAGUUUUAGGAAGACUGUUCAAUCAUUUUAUUAUCUUUAGGGUAGUUUUUGGUCCUAGUAAUUUUCAAAUUAACUGUUCAUUUUUCCCCUUCAGGUUUCUCUUAUGAUUAUGAGGAUGUUGGCUUAAGUUUAAUUAUGAUUGGGGGAGUUUUAUAUUUGAACUGCUUCUUAUUAUUGGACGGAUGGUUUGACGUAAACUCUACAUUAUAUUCUAUUCUGCUGUGGAUGUCUUCAGCGUUUUACCAAUUCAAGUUAUUCAAAAUUGCAGCUUUUCAUCUUAGCUCUUACAUUUACCUCUCCCUUUACUCUCUGUUUCAAUUAUUUGAAUUGUACCAUUUAUAUCUGAUACUAUUUUUUAGGGUAUAUUUUUUCAUUUCUAGGCAAUCAAGGCAAUGGUUCAAGUCGACUAUAUUCUUUGUUUUGUGUUGCUGGAUUGUAGCGGGGAUGUAAAAUGAUUUCUUUCAUUUCAUGUUUAAUUGUCCUUGCGUUGUUGAUAUUUUCUUAGGCGUCAAUCUUCUUUCUCAGAUCUAUUUAUACAAGCAUAAAAUCUUGGACUAUUUUUUUAUCUUUUCCUGUAGCAACCAGUUGUGUCCGAUUUUUUGUUCAUAUUUUUGCUUUGGGGCGUUCAAUGGAUUUUCAGGGUUCAGGUUCUAAUCAAGAUUAUUUUCACCACCUUUUGUUUUCAUGCCUCAGUUAACUAAUGUCUUCCUCUUCAACAUUUCCAGCACUGUGGGUUAAACAUGUUUCAUCUUCACCUUUUCUUAUGAUACUGUGGUUUAUUUUCACUAAACUUGAUACAUGCAGAACAUUGCCGAUUGUUGGUUGGCUCACUGAGCUGAGACUUCGGAUUAGUAUCUACAUUCGUUCAGUAGAAGUUCAGAGGUUCUGUUUGGUAUCUUUCAUGUGUUGUGUUGGUAUCUGAUAGUUUAUUUUGACUACGGAUGGUUUUGUGGUUAUCUAUGUGAUUAAUGCAGAUGAGGCCAAUUUUUGAAUUAUCUAUGAGAUCUGGAAUUAGAUAUGCCACGUUGGGGUAUGUAUUAUAGCUUUUGAGUUCAUUUCCCGGAACUUUGAAUUUUCAUUUGAAUAAGCAACUCUUUUGGAUUUGAAACAAUAUUGCAAGUUCUUUUUGUAUGAAUGUUGGUUUCAUGAAUUAACAUACAGUUGUGAACUCGUAUGGUUGGAUUGGUUUGAUGCUCUCAAUAUAAGGUCAGAUAUUUGGUUCUUGAUUGAUAUCUUCGGUUUAUUUUCCCGCUACUUUUGAUGUAAGCAGAGCAAGGCACAACUGUUUGUGAGCUCAUUUGGUUCUCAGUACAAGGUUAGAUGUUUGGUUUUUAUCAUUGUCUACGGUUUUUCCCCUCAACUCCACCAACAGCUGAUUAACUAUUGGGACGUUGCAUGUUUGUUUGUGUUUGGGACCUGGUACAUUGGUUAAGUAUCUCUAAUCCCCUGGAAGAUUAAUCUUAUUGUGAUCAGCUCUUUUAAGUUUGUUAAUGUGAUUGUGGACUGGGUUUCUGGUGUCCGAUGAGUUUUCUGAUUUGUUUGAUGGUGUCCUAUCUUUGGUUCAUGCCCUUUUUUAGGCUGGAGUGGUCUUUAGGCUGCACUUCUCACGGAUCUUCUAUAUUAUAAUGCUCCGGGGAGUUGACUAUUUAAAGGAAAAUUGGUAAAUUGCUUAAUUGACAUUCCUAUGGUGGUGAUAUUCUUUUUGUUCAAACUUUAUAUCAAGAGGGUGGGUGAUAUGACAAUCAUGAUCGUGUUAACUGCAGAUGGUGUCGUUCUCUGCUGUGUAUUCUUUUUUUUUUUUUUUUCAUUCUGUUUCUAAGUGGUUUUGUUGAACAUAUAGGGUAUAAUUGGUUUGAGACAUUGGAGACGCUAUAGUGUCGUGUUUUUCAGUCAAAUACUUUUCGUGGUACAAGCUUGCCUGCCGUUUGAAGUUGUCUUGUGAUUAUUAACUGAUCUGUUGGAUUUACUUUCUGUGGAGCACAUUUGAUGUUUGAAGCCGUCUUAUGAUUUUGGUAGUUCACGUCUUAUAAGAAAUAUACCCUUUUUUUCAUAAAAGUAUUUGUUAUUUUUUUUGGAUACUGUACGUCAAUCUCUAAUUUGAGUUCUUAUUUCUCGUCAUAUUACUAUUAAUAUUAUCUUGAGAAUAUUUAUUCUCGAACAGUCUUUAUUUUGGGUGUACUCAACACCUUCUUGUUUUUCCUUAUUCACGGUAUAGAUCUUUUAGGAUAAUUGUGAACUUUUGUAUUCCAUCAAGUCGCUAGAGUAUAUACUGUUUUCGAUAAACUGGUCUACAAAUAUUUAACCGACUGCUACCAAAUAUGUACAUUUAUUUUACGGACAUUUUAUUAUUGGCAUGUUACACGAUAUAAUGUUUCAGUAAUAUGCUGUUUUUGCAUGUUUUGAAACCUGAAUAAAUGAAUUGGGUUUUAGAAGAGGUAAAUUUAAAACAAAUUAUAUAUAAAGAUAAACUAGGAUAAAAUUACUUUUAUGGUACAUAUUUUAGGAAUUUAUAGAAUUUAAAAAUUUGUUUUUGUCUGUCACACGCUUUUCGCCAUUAUGAUUGUAAUUCUUUUGUUGACAUAAUAUGAAUACACUAAUAUUAUAUCUUACUCUAUCGCCUACUUUCGUUUUGCCUACGGUAAAUUUAGCAUGAUUUCAGUUCAGAAACACUAGAUAAAACAAUUUUAAGUCAAGUACAUAAACAAUAUUAGGGUGAAAAUUAAUAAUAUUAUUAAAAACCUAGGCCGUGUAACACCACAACAACCAAGUUUUGCAAACUAACAAGCUAGUUUUCGUUAGUCUUAUUUGUUUUGCAAUCAUUCACCAAGAAAUUUUAUAUUUAUUGAUUACCAUUAGCUGAAAGUUAUAAUGCUGACCGUACGAGGAUAGUUAUACACAACAAAAUCGGGUCGGUAUUUAUGUUGCCAUCAAGUUAUCGAAAGGUGAUAUAUAAUUAAAUUUUUACAUAAUAGUUACGUAAAAUUUUCUUCUUUUUGGCUUUGAUCACGUACUUACUAAAUACCAUUUUUUAUAUAUGGCAAAAUCUUAAGGUUAUUUUAAGUUGCAUUGUUCUGACAUAACUUCGUCGAUCUUACAUUUUACCUUUCUCUACUUUUAAGGCUCUUGGUUUAUAUGUCAUGGAAAAUGGGUCAGGGCUAUCUAAAAGCAUAUGCAUUUGUUUGUUGAUUUCACGUUCUUGAUUUUCUUUAUAUCUUCGGUAUGUGUGAGAUUUUUUUGUUCAUGUCAUUGCGUUCAAUGGCUUUUCAGGUUCAUGCUUUUACUCGAGAAUAUUAUCAUGGCCUUUUGGUGAAUUUUGGAUGUUUUAGUUUUCAUACUGCAAUUCACUAAUGUCUUCCUUGUCUAUUCUGAAAUCGUUUGCGACGUUGAUAUUCAUUAAUUAUGUUUCGACCAUUGAUGCGAGGAUGGACGAAUGGUUUGAUAUAUUUUUUUAAUAUAUAUUUUUUAAAUGAAUUAUGUUUUACAAAACUGCUUUUCAUCUUUAAAGAUUUUAAAGAUCAGAUAUAGUAUCAUUGUCCUUACUUUUACUCUUAUUUUUCUCAUCAUGUUUUGUUUUGCAUUUCUUUCAACCUCCAUUUUUGAGGGUUUUUUUGGUAUGUUUUUCUUUUUUAGGUGAUCUAGAGAAUGGUUCAAGAAUUUUUGUGUCGUUGGGUUUUGAAGGGGUGUAAAAUGAAUUUUCAAUUCUUAUUCAAUCAUCCUUGCUUUCUAGGCGUUUUCUUACAUGCUAUCUAUCUUAGUAGAUGCAUUUGUUUCAAUAAUUUAAGGUUCUCGACUUUGUAAGACGUUAGUCUUCUUUUCAAGACUUUAACCUUGGAAGGGAGUUGACUUGGACUAGUGUUUCCUUUUAAAUGAAUUUUUAUUUUUUCUAAUACUGAGCUUCGAUCGUUGUGAGAUUUUUGGUUCAUGUCUUUGCCGUUGGGCGUUAAAUAAAUUUUCAGGGUUAUGCUUUUAUUCGAGAAUAUAAUCAUAGCCUGUUGGUAUACCCUUGAUGCUUUAGUCGUCAUGCUUCAAGUCACAAAUGUCUUCUUCUCCAUUCCCAUCCUCAUCCUUUUAUCUCGAAUUAUUAUUUUUGGAAAGAUUGGGUUAUGCUUUGUGAUCCGUAUUUAUUUUGCAGAUGAUUCUUAUAGCACUGCCUGAUCUGCUCUUGGGAUUUUUUAUCAGUAUUUAUAUGCGUUUUGUGGUUCUAUGCAACCACUUUUGUACAUUGUGUUGGUAACUAAUAGUAGUUUAUAACAAUUGACGAUUUUGUGGGUAUUAUAUGAUUUAUACGAAUCUCUCCGGCCUUAGAUUUUUACGACCUUUUUCCUUGGUUUUUGAUUAACAGAGCAUCACCAAUGGUUGAUUUACACUUGGGACUUUGCACGUGUAUCUAUACGCGUUUGGAAUUUUCGAUCUAUGCUUAUAACACUGCCAACUAUUGAUUUACACUCGGUACAUUGGAUUAGUCAAGACAUUGGUAGUGCAAAUGUUUAGUUCGACUGUUUCUUAUUUUUUUUUAAAUAGUUUUUGAUAUCUAAUUAUUGACUUGAACUUGAGGUUUCAUUCAUAUGAUUUGUACAGAUGAUGCUGAUUUGUCAUUCUGUUGGGGUCUAGAUUGAGAUCCAUAGGCAACCAUUGGGUGAUGCGGGUCCAUGGUUUUUUAUAGGGAUGGAAAGUGGUUCAAGGCUAUCUUAGCAUAUGCAUUUGUUCUAUGAUUUUAAGUUCUUGACUAUAUUCCUAUCUUAACAAGCACCUUGGAAGGGAGUUAACUUGUCCUAGUAUUUUCUUCAAAAGACUUUUUAUUUGCUAUACCUUCAGUCUCUGUGAGAAUUUUUGUUCAUGACAUGCCUGUGCUUUGUUGCGUUCAAUGGCUUUUCAGGUUUCUGCUUUUACUUAAGAAUAUUAUCGUAGCUUGUUGGUGAAUCUUGGAUGCUUUAGUCUUCAUACUGCAAGUCACUAAUAUCUUCCUUGUCUUACCCAACGUUUGACUUUUCUUAUGGAAAUUUUUUGUAGACUUUAUAUAUAUUAUGAUAUAUUAGUACUAAUAUUUUAAAUGAAUUUUCAGGUUGUUUUACAAAACUGCCUUUCAUCUUUAUGGGUUUGACAUAGUAUAGUCAUCCUUACUUUUACCUCUCAUUUGCUCAUCGUGCUUUGUUUUGCAUUUCUUUCUGCCUCCAUUUUUGAGGGUUUUGGUUUUUCUCUUUUUAGGUGAUCUGAGAGAGAAUGGCUCAAGGAUUUUUGUGUUGUUGGAUUGUGGAGGGGUGAAAAAUGAUUCUUUCAAUUCUUAUUUUCUUCUAGGCGCUUUCUUGUAUGUUGUCUAUCUUUGCAUAUGCAUUUUGUUCAUUUUCAGGUUUUCAACUUUGUAAGGCGUCAAUCUUCUCUUCCCGGGUCUAUUUAGACAAGAACUUAAACUUGAAAGGGAGUUGAAUUGGGCUAGUGUUUCCUUUAAUGAUUUUUUAUCUUUUCUAGAACUGUAGCUUCGGUUUUGUAAGAUUUUUGGUUCAUGUCUUUGGUUUUGUGCGUUUAAUGAUUUUUCAGGGUUCCAUUUUUACUCGAGAAUACUAUCAUAGCAUCUUGGUAAAUCUUGGAUGCUUCAGUGGUCAUGCUGCAAGUCACAAACUUUGUUGGCUUCUCCAUUCCCAUCACUGCAGGCUAGAUAUGUUUCAUCCCUUUUUUAUCUCUUGAUAUUUGUGAGAACUAUUAUUUUUGGAGAGGUUGAAUUAUGCUUUGUGAUCAGUAUUUAUUUCAUCGAUGAUUUUCAGAGCAUUGUCGAUUGUUGAUCUGAAGUUUGGAAUUUGUACUAGUAUUUAUGUGUUUUGUAGAGUUUCAGUCGUAUUGUGCAACUACUUUUGUGCACUGUGUUGGUAACUAAUAGUUGAUUAUAAUUACUGAGGGUUUUGUUUUCCAUUACUUUCUCUCUCCAUUUUUCACAGUUUUGGUUUGCUUUUUUCUUUUUAGGUGAUCGCGAGAAAGUUUCAAGGUUUUUUGCGUCAUUGGAUUGUGAAGGGGAUGUAAAAUGAUUCUUUCCAUUCUUAUUCAAUCAUUCUGGCUUUAUUCUAAGCCUUUUCUUAUAUGCUGUCUAUCUUAGCAUAUGCAUUUUGUUCAAUAAUUUCAGGUUCUCGACUUUGUAAGAUGUUAGUCUUCUUAUCUUGGGUCUAUUUGGACAAGAAUUUAACCUUUGAAAGGAGUUGAAUUGGAUUAGUGUUUCCUUUUAAAUGGAUUUUAUCUUUUCUAGAAUUGUAGUUUCUCUUUGUGAGAUUUUUGGUUCAUGUCUUUGCUUUUGCUUGUUAAAUGAAUUUCAGGGUUCUGUUUUUACUCGAGCAUAUUAUCAUAGCCUGGUAGUGAAUCUUUGAUGCUUUAGUCUUCGUACUGUAAGUCACUAAUGUUUUCCUCUUCUCUAUCCCCAGAGCACUAUGAGUUUGAUAUUUUUCAUUAUUUAAUUUUUUGAAAUUGUGAGGGUUUCUUUUUUUUGGAGAUGUUUGGGUUAUUGCUUUGUCAUCAAUAUUUAUUUUUACAGAUGAUUCUUUGUAUUUGAUUGAGUUACCCAUCUUGGGUGACUAUUGUUUAUUUUCACUAAACUGAUGUAGGCUGAUUAUUUGUGAUUAAUUAUUUGCUGUUGGGAAUUUGGAUUAGUAUAUAUAUGCGAUUUGGAGAAAGUCAAGGUUCCAUGCGAUCACUUUUUAUGUGCUGUGUUGGUAAUUAAUAGUUGAUUACAAUUAUGUUUUGUGGCUAUAUGAUAUAUGCAGAUGAUGGUUCUAUUUAUUUUUGUUUUUUUAUGUAGGGUUUUUAUUUUGGAAGAGAAUAUAGAUCAAUGUAUGACCCUGGAUGCCUUUUCUAUUUUAGAGUUGGCUUGCCCAUUCUUUCUUGAAUUUCUUUGAAUAACCUACUUGUUUGGACUUGGAACAAUAUUGUGAACUCCAUUUGUAAGGAGGUUGGUUUUAUGAAUUAACACUAUAAACUCAACUAUGUUGUGAACUUGUUCAGUUUGGUGUUCUCGGUCUAAAAUAUGAUAUUUGGUCUUAAUGGUUGUCUAUGGAUUUAUUUUUCUUAAACUUUUGAUGUAGCAGAGCAUCAGCAACAAAUAUAUUUUGAUUUUGAUCUUGUUUGGUUGGAUGUUCUCAGUAUAUAAGGUCAGAUGUAUGGUUGGUACUUGUUUGGAUUUUUGAUACACGCAUAUCAUCACCAUCUUUUGAUUGACACAUGGGACCAUCAGAUUAGCAUUCAUAUAGAAGUGCAAAAUUUAUAUAUAUAAUCGUGGACUUUAAUUUAGUGUUUUUUUUGGUUUUAUUUAUAUGAUUUGUAUAGAUGAUGCUGAUCUUUCUAAGGGUAUGGAUUGAGUUUUUGAGUUGUGUUGGUUUGGUUUUCCGUUUUUCCUUAAUAAACCUUCAGAUCUGCUAGUGGUUGGACUUAGAACAACAUCGAAGUUCUUACCUUGUACCUUUGUUUGUUAAUACCAGGCUCUUCGUUUGCAAUUGAUAAGUUUUAGGAAAGAUGCUUUGUUCAAUCCUGUUAUCUUUUGUGGAGAGUUUCUUUGUCAAGUAUUUUUGGAAAUAUUUUUCAUUUCUUCACUUGACAUUUUGUUGCACUUUGAAGGUGAUGCACGCUUUUUUAUUCUUAAUAUAUAUAUUUUUAAUGAUAACUUUUUAUGCUUAUGGGAAUGUUGACCUGUGUACAACUUGAUGGUUGCUGAUUAUUUGACUUCUACAAUAUUUAUCUCUUAUUAACUUUUGCUUAUUUGAUGAAGUGUAUGGACUUUUUUUCAUUUCUUUUCAGGCCUUAGUAUGGGGUUUCUGGUAACUCAAUUUUUCUAGGUGAUCGAUUAUUCAUUCCAAAAGUAUAAUUAAAAUUUGGCCUGUGAUUUUUGUGGUGUGUGAAAUGUAGCAUCUUCAAUCUUAUCGUUAUGUUUUUUUAUCAAGUGAAUGUAUUGUGAAGUACAAGGCUUAAAGUAUGUCACUCGAGAGUACAAUUAGGUUGUUUGAUGGUUUACUCGACUUAUUUUUCUUGUGUUACUUUGUUUAUCUCUACCUGUAUAUGAUUUGUUUAUUUCAGGCUAUUGGGGAUUUUGCAAUGUGGACAUGUUUUCAGAAGAUGUCUUGACUGUUGGAGCUACAACCUUCUUGUUUUGAGACCAUUUAAGCAAAGCUUUAACCUUGAAGGGUAGUCAACUCAAUUUGACCUAGUAUUUAAUUUGACAUAGCUUCAACUUUUUGUUAUUCGUAUUCGUGCUGCAGUUUGCACAAGUCUUCAAUCUUACAGAUCUCAGUGAUGUUGUGUUGGGAUAUCUAGUAUUCUUCAUUCUUCUGAAUGUUUGUGUUGCUCAUAUCUGGUUAUGGAAGCUCUAAAAGUUGAUAUUUACACUAUGCUAUUAUAUGCCGACUCUGUCUCUGCUAAAAAAAUGUCGCAGUGCUUGUGUUUAUAGUUGGUUGUUUGGUUUUGGAUUAUCACGUGGGAGUGUCAAACAUUGGCAGUUUGGGACAUCUGAGACACUAGCUGUAAAUUAUUCAAAAAUUGAACUACAUAUAUUUUUGUUUGAAGUCUUGUGAAUUUCAAAGCAUAUGUUGUUAACUUUCAUAAAAUUUAUCCUGUUUUAUAUUAUUUGUAUAUUUCUUUAACUCUACGGUAAUCCUUAAUCAACUGAUUUUGUUUUUUUCCUCGAUGUCUAUGACACCAAUAUCUACUUUUAUGGCUCUAGCUAACUCGUUGUAAGUUCUCUUAUGAUUAUGUUUCAUCACAUUUUGGUUCUAUUCUCGACUGUUGCUGGCAUUUAAGAUUCGAGCUGUAGAUCAUUUUGGAGAUAUGGUUUGAACUUUUGUUUCAAAUAUGUCGCAAUUGGUUCUUCUAUUUUCAUCACACGAUAUCAUGUUUAAGUGUUCUAUUGUGUUGGCUUAUUUUGAAACCUGUUGAUUGGAUUUUAGGAGAAUAAAUUCUACUACAUGAACGAGAAUUUUUUUUGAUGCUACAAGUAUUUAGAACUUCCACGAUAGUAGAUUUUAAAAUUUGAUUCAGUUUAAACAUUUUUAUUCAAUAAACUAAUUUUGUUUUUAUAGAAUUUAUAAAAAAUACAUAGGAAAACACUGUAUGAUGUUACUCUUGUAAAGCACAAGUCUAUUUAACUACGAUUACCAUGUGCCCAUAAUUGUCUAAUUUGUGGUGCUAGCCGUUGGAUUACGUUUAUUUAAGCAUCGCGGAUUGAUAUUUUUAUUUUUUAUUUUUAUUUAUGUUUUAAUCACAAUAAAAUCGGGCAAGGUGAUAUACGAAAGCAUUAUUUCAUGAUUAUAUGGUUGCGUGGGUGUGUGAUAUAUUUGACUAAGCAGUUAUACGUAUCAAAAAGCCAUUAGCAAGUUUAAUAACAUGUUUCACUUAGCUUUUUCUCUUGGUUAUUUAUAUAUUUUAUGAUAUUUUAAUAAUUUAAUUUUUUUGCAGGUCAUAAGAACUACGUGGAGCUUGAUCCCUAUAAAUUAUAGGGUACGUAGGCAACUUUCUGCAAGUGCAGCUCCAAACUAAUAUUUUUCACUUUUUUUUUUUGUAUGUAUUUAUAAAAGUUGAAAGGUUGGUUAGAAGUUAUUUUAUUUUUAUAUCGAUAGGAAUUUUUUUUUUGUUUAGUUGUAUCUUUAGUUGUCAGCCCUUCGUUCAGUUAUUUUAAUGUAGAAAGUUUAGGUAUGUUCCCUGGUUGAUGAAAAUUUUAAAAUUAUAUUAUAAUUUUUAGCUAUUAAAAUAUAUAAA